rnacentral:rRNA from 1 species
GACGAACGCUGGCGGCGUGCUUAACACAUGCAAGUCGAACGGAAAGGCCCUGCUUUUGUGGGGUGCUCGAGUGGCGAACGGGUGAGUAACACGUGAGUAACCUGCCCUUGACUUUGGGAUAACUUCAGGAAACUGGGGCUAAUACCGGAUAGGAGCUCCUGCUGCAUGGAGGGGGUUGGAAAGUUUCGGCGGUUGGGGAUGGACUCGCGGCUUAUCAGCUUGUUGGUGGGGUAGUGGCUUACCAAGGCUUUGACGGGUAGCCGGCCUGAGAGGGUGGCCGGCCACAUUGGGACUGCGAUACGGCCCAGACUCCUACGGGGGGCAGCAGUGGGGAAUAUUGCACAAUGGGCGGAAGCCUGAUGCAGCAACGCCGCGUGCGGGAUGACGGCCUUCGGGUUGUAAACCGCUUUCGCCUGUGACGAAGCGUGAGUGACGGUAAUGGGUAAAGAAGCACCGGCUAACUACGUG